rnacentral:rRNA from 1 species
GAUGAACGCUGGCGGCGUGCCUAAUACAUGCAAGUCGAGCGAACAGACGAGGAGCUUGCUCCUCUGACGUUAGCGGCGGACGGGUGAGUAACACGUGGAUAACCUACCUCUAAGACUGGGAUAACUUCGGGAAACCGGAGCUAAUACCGGAUAAUAUAUUGAACCGCAUGGAUCAAUAGUGAAAGACGGCUUUGCUGUCACUUAUAGAUGGAUCCGCGCCGCAUUAGCUAGUUGGUAAGGUAACGGCUUACCAAGGCGACGAUGCGUAGCCGACCUGAGAGGGUGAUCGGCCACACUGGAACUGAGACACGGUCCAGACUCCUACGGGAGGCAGCAGUAGGGAAUCUUCCGCAAUGGGCGAAAGCCUGACGGAGCAACGCCGCGUGAGUGAUGAAGGUCUUCGGAUCGUAAAACUCUGUUAUUAGGGAAGAACAAAUGUGUAAGUAACUAUGCACGUCUUGACGGUACCUAAUCAGAAAGCCACGGCUAACUACGUG